GACGAACGCUGGCGGCGUGCCUAAUACAUGCAAGUAGAACGCUGAAGGAGGAGCUUGCUCUUCUGGAUGAGUUGCGAACGGGUGAGUAACGCGUAGGUAGCCUGCCUGGUAGCGGGGGAUAACUAUUGGAAACGAUAGCUAAUACCGCAUAAUAGUAGAUGUUGCAUGAUAUUUACUUAAAAGGUGCAAUUGCACCACUACCAGAUGGACCUGCGUUGUAUUAGCUAGUUGGUGGGGUAACGGCUCACCAAGGCGACGAUACAUAGCCGACCUGAGAGGGUGAUCGGCCACACUGGGACUGAGACACGGCCCAGACUCCUACGGGAGGCAGCAGUAGGAAUCUUCGGCAAUGGACGAAAGUCUGACCGAGCAACGCCGCGUGCGGGAAGAAGGUUUUCGGAUCGUAAAGCUCUGUUGUAAGAGAAGAACGAGUGUGAGAGUGGAAAGUUCACACUGUGACGGUAUCUUACCAGAAAGGGACGGCUAACUACGUG
rnacentral:rRNA from 1 species